AAACUAUUAAUACUUUGUUUUGAAAACAAAGUUUAAGAUUUGUUCUUGUAGUUU
rnacentral:tRNA from 1 species